GAUGAACGCUGGCGGCGUGCCUAAUACAUGCAAGUCGAACGCAUAGCGAAAGGUGCUUGCACCUUUCAAGUGAGUGGCGAACGGGUGAGUAACACGUGGACAACCUGCCUCAAGGCUGGGGAUAACAUUUGGAAACAGAUGCUAAUACCGAAUAAAACUUAGUGUCGCAUGACACAAAGUUAAAAGGCGCUUCGGCGUCACCUAGAGAUGGAUCCGCGGUGCAUUAGUUAGUUGGUGGGGUAAAGGCCUACCAAGACAAUGAUGCAUAGCCGAGUUGAGAGAAUGAUCGGCCAAAUUGGGACUGAGACACGGCCCAAACACCGACGGGAGGCUGCAGUAGGGAAUCUUCCACAGUGGGCGAAAGCCUGAUGGAGCAACGCCGCGUGUGUGAUGAAGGCUUUCGGGUCGUAAAGCACUGUUGUAUGGGAAGAACAGCUAGAAUAGGAAAUGAUUUUAGUUUGACGGUACCAUACCAGAAAGGGACGGCUAAAUACGUG
rnacentral:rRNA from 1 species